GCAUGGAAGAUAUGAUGAUCAACAGCUUUUCCCAGGAUGAGGGCUGUCUAUUGCACUCCAGGCAGGUGGACCCCUGCAAGUUUCCCAAAUGCAGAAAACUUGACUGCACAGUUUUGUGGAUGGGGACUGCAUUUGCGCUUUCCCCCU
rnacentral:snRNA from 1 species